UACGGAGGAUGCGAGCGUUAUCCGGAUUUAUUGGGUUUAAAGGGUGCGCAGGCGGAUUUUUAAGUCAGCGGUCAAAUCGUGGGGCUCAACCCCAUCCAGCCGUUGAAACUGGGGAUCUAGAGUGUGCGAGAGGUAUGCGGAAUGCGUGGUGUAGCGGUGAAAUGCAUAGAUAUCACGCAGAACCCCGAUUGCGAAGGCAGCAUACCGGUGCACAACUGACGCUAAGGCACGAAAGCGUGGGUAUCGAACAGG
rnacentral:rRNA from 1 species